GUUGACCUCAUUGCGUGAAAAAAAUCCAAGAGCUGGGGCUUGGUUAGACAACAUCCCAAAUGAGAAAUGGGCUCAAUGUUACGAUGAAGGUUCUUCUGAGGGUAGGGGGCCAUAUACAGAAAUCAUUCUCUAGUGUGCCGAUGAGCGCAACGAAUGUUAUUGGGAGUAGAAGGAGGAGGAUUCUUCUCUUCUUCAGCUUCAGGAUAUAGGAAGGGCCUGACGCUUCUCCUUCUAGGUCAGAGGAGUGAUGAUAAAUCCAGGAGAGUUUUGCCGUGGAACCAAUAUCUGUUGAUAGACCGAGAAUUUGAUCCUCAGCUCCAGCUGGCUCCCACAAAGAACUGCCUCUCCCGCGGCUGCGCUUCCUUUUUUUGCUUUGGUCGCGCGUCCGCAGAGCUUGACACUCCAUCUCAUCUUAAUGUUGGCCCUGUCCAUCAGCAUGAUGUCAUACCAAGGUCGUUGGUUUCCAACAAGGGCAAUGAUUCUUCUCCUCAUGUAGAUGAUGAUAAUAGAAAGGUUACUCUUAAAAGUAGCUUGAAAAAGCCACAACAUAAUAAACCAGCUCCUGUUGAUGCUAUUAGUGAACAUGAGGAAAUGGGUGGAAAAGGGACUGAUGCUCCUCAAACAGAGACUAGGAAAGUGCAGUGGACAGAUGAUUGUGGCAGUAAGCUUGUAAAUAUAAGAGAAUUUGAGCCCAGGUUGCAUGACUGUUCCUCCCAAGAAUCGAUCCUUGGCCUUUUAUAGCCUUGUACGAUACCCGUGAAUCUAGUUGGGCCUUACAUUGGACCAACUCCUUGUUGGUAGUUUUCUUUCUCUUCAUUAAAUUUUAAAAUUAAAAGGUCCUUUGUGUCAGAUUUUACCAUUAGAGAACUCUUGGUACCUUAUAUCCUGUGAUUGAUAGUGAACUAGAUAUACUAUGGCAGCCUUCUCAUUUUUCAUUUUCUAUUAUUCUAAUUGAUUCAGAAGUCUAUAUUUAUUAUUGUUAUAAAUGAUGAAAGUUAGUUGUUAAGCUUGGUGUUUUGAGUGAAAACUGUUUACAUUUUUUUAGGUUAAGCGUGAGCUAAAUUCUAAUUAAAGCAGGUGUUUAAAUGUAAAAUCAUUCACGAGCCUUCAUCUAACACCUUCAACUUUUCGGAGAGUUGGUUGUCGACAUGAUUGAUAUUAGAGCCUCUAUGUCCCGAUGGUUAGGUUAGAUCCUUGUUGUCCUCAUUCUUUUAGAUAAAAAGUUGCAUUUUAGUACAAGGUAAUGUGAGACUGGGCAUUACUAUAUAAAAAGGUGGGACUGGGCAUUGUCCAUAUUUCAAGCCAUAAUACCUCUUAGGUAAGGUGUAUUAAAUACAGUUGUGUUAUUUCCCAGGCCUUUUGAAUGAAUUGUCUGAUUAUGCUGAAGACUCAAAUUUUAUUUUCUUAUAUUAUUCAAGUGUUAUUUCCCAGGCCUUUCCCUUGCUAUAUAUGCUCAUUACUCAUUGAUUUCAUUCAACAAUUUGAUUAGUAGGGUGUUCUUCAUUAAACAUUGUUACAGUCUUCCCUUAUAUGCAAUGCCAUGUCAAAGGCAGUGUUGGGCCAAGAGAUCAAUAUCUUUUUUCUGUGAAAACUAAUCGCUCCCUCUUUUCAUACUCUGUUCAUCCUUUAUUAAAUAGUUGUUUUUUCCCUGGUGACAUCACUUCAAUUACAAUAGACUUAUACUAUGUAUUGACUAGGAAUUUUGUAAUGCUUCGAGGUAAUAUGUUGAGGAAAGAAAUGAAAACUGGAGCUUCAGAAUAUAUUUUUUUGGUAAACAGAGAAAUUUAAUAGAAAUAAGAAAAAAAAAUACAAUGGUAGAGGGAGGAUAAGGAAUCCCCUCCUAAUAAAAAGAAAAAAAGAAUUGAAAAAAUAGAAACUUAAGCAACAAGGCUUCACACUUUAGCCUCGUUGAUUUAAAAUAUGAGUAUUGCUAUAACCAAAUACACCAUAUUGUUGCAUAGAUUGCACAUUGCAAAAAAACUUUAGCCUCUUUACUUCUGAAACAAUGGAAACCACCUGUUAACAUGUCAGGGGAAAAAGCCUUAUGUGGGCCAUUAACUUGCAACAUAUCAUUAGUAUCUAGUAGUAGUUCUUUUAAGUGCCACAGUCCAAAUAAAAGAUUUGACCUUAGAGGGAUCUUUGAUUUCCACAUUGGUGUAUCCAGAAGAAAAGCAUCCUUGUCCAAGAAAAUGUGAAGGAGUUUGAAAAGGAGAAUUUCAUAAAAAUUCCCUAUCAAGGAACCAAAUAUUCUGGUUGGGGUGAGAAUACAGAUGAAUGGAGUAACAGAGGCCCAAAAUGGGCUCCGACUCGAAAAAUUCUUGUCAUUCAAAUUAUGAUAAAGAAGAAAUUCCAUGAAAAAUAGAAUCUUGGAGUCCAUAAAAAUUGUGGAUUGGAGAAUUACUCAAAGAAGAAAGAUGAUAAAGACAAGGAAAGUCGCAAGUAAAAAGAACAUCUCCUACCCAUAGAUUCUCCUAAAAAUUAAUUUGUCUUUACCCAGCUUCAAGAAAGCAAAUACUUAAAGGUAGCAUUGUUGGCAUCCCACCCAUCUGGGCAUAAACUGUACUUCAAAUUAUCUGGUGCUAAAAAGAUUGAGGUUAGAAAGGGAAACACCAUAAGUAUGUAGCAGGUAGAGCAAUACUCUUAGACACCAAACUACCUAGUUCCAAGCCUCUCUUUAUUCUUAGGAUGACGAAACACCUCCCAUAUUACUCAGAGGCUAUUUAUAGAAAAAUAAAAAGAAAAUCUGCAGAGGCUAAACCAUUAGGUUGCUGCACUUUUGCCUCUGAAGUGCAAUGAGCACUUGAGAGGCCCAACCCCUCGUAGUAUUUGCUCCAAUCGUGAAGUUCUUGUCCUCUGUAUUUUUAGCAUAAAUUGUUGAGGAUCUUGAUUGGUGAAAGUUGGUUUAAUCUUGCUAACAUAGAGUCCAAUCACUCGUCCAAGUGAUCACCCUGUUGUAAUACGUGGGUCUGAAACCCCAAAUGCAAACAAAAAUGGGGUUCAACGACUCAUGUCGGUAAUGCAUGGAACUUUUCCAGUUUGACCUAGGCUUAUUGUGUAUCUUUAUUAAAUGAGUAUAUCACAAACAAGACUAAACUACAACAGUUAAUAUGUCUUUAAAACUCCUGUCCUUUACCGUGCUAGGUUGACAACCUUCAAUUUUGUUUAUUCUGCACAAAACAUGUUAUUAUGCUUUACAGAAUAGCUGGAUGUGAUUGAAGUCCUUCACAUUUUUCUGUCAUAUUUUUUACACUUUUUUCUUUUUCUUGUUUUGCGACUUGUUUGUAAUUGAUUGUAUGGGCAUUGUGAUUUAACUGCAGUGAAGCGGAAUCAUUUGAUGAAUUUGAUAAUGCAAAUAACAGGAAUUGUUCUUGUGCUGUUAUGUAAAUUUGCAAUUCACCAAGAUGACAUGGACUCAUAACAUGGACCAAGUCAUUCAUUGCUAGGCUAGCACAUUCCAUUGCUCUGGUCUGAGGCAAAAGGAGCAAAGAAUUUUCAGUGUAGUGCUUGACCAGACAUUCAUGUCAAUAAUUGCUUCCUAUGGCCUUCAAUUUUGUUCCUUCUCUUCUCAUCAAUUCGUUGUAUAAUCUUUGUUGUGUGAAUUCUGUCUUUUGAUUCAUCAUUUUAAUGCUAUUUUUUGUUGUUAUUUUUAUAUAGUCAAACAAGAUUGUAGUUCUAUGAUCUGACAUUAUCUUAAAAUAAGAUAAUACAAAAUGUGAGAUUUGUAAAUAAGCAAUCCUGUCUUGAUGGGGAAGUAAACUUUUGAUGCCAGCUUGGUCUACAUAAACAAUGGUCUGUCUGGAUUCAAAAUUUUCUUGGGUUUUAGGAUUCCAAGCUUCUUUAUUCAAAUCAUGAUUCAAGAUAUGUUGAGAUCUGGCUGUUUUAAAUAUAGAAGAAAGAUGAUACUGCAAUUGCACAAGAAGCUGUGGUGAGUUUACCUUCAUCUCGUUUGCAAGUUGAGUUUAGGACGAGAUGAAAGAGAAAAAGAAGGUUUCCGAGUCUUACAGGUAUAUUUUGUGACGUCCACUUUUCAUUUUUUUCCUCAAAACCCAACUCAAUGAAACUGUUUUUUGUAAUUUGGAGUGGUAGUUGUGUCCUGUAUUUAUUUAUGCUAAACAUUAGAACAUGUUUAAUAAUUUAAU
rnacentral:lncRNA from 1 species